rnacentral:rRNA from 1 species
UACGGAGGGGGCUAGCGUUGUCCGGAAUCAUUGGGCGUAAAGAGCGCGUAGGCGGCCCGAUAAGUCCGCUGUGAAAGUCAAAGGCUCAACCUUUGAAAGCCGGUGGAAACUGUGGGACUAGAGUACGGAAGAGGCGAGUGGAAUUCCUGGUGUAGCGGUGGAAUGCGCAGAUAUCAGGAGGAACACCAAUAGCGAAGGCAGCUCGCUGGGACGUUACUGACACUGAGGCGCGAAAGCGUGGGGAGCGAACAGG